rnacentral:rRNA from 1 species
UAUGUGAUCGUCUCUCGCAUAUCAAUAAGCGGAGGAAAAGAAACUAACAAGGAUUCCCCUAGUAACGGCGAGUGAAGCGGGAAGAGCUCAAAUUUGAAAUCUUAAAGGGUUUCCCUUUACGAAUUGUAGUUUAAAGAAGUGUUUUCUGUUGAGGUUUUGGUAAAAGUUCUUUGGAAUAGGACAUCAUAGAGGGUGAGAAUCCCGUAUUUGACCUUUACUUUCAACUUUGUGAUACACUUUCAAAGAGUCGGAUUGUUUGGGAAUGCAGUCCAAAAUGGGUGGUAAAUCUCAUCUAAAGCUAAAUAUUGGCGAGAGACCGAUAGCGAACAAGUACCGUGAGGGAAAGAUGAAAAGAACUUUGAAAAGAGAGUUAAACAGGUACGUGAAAUUGUCAAAAGGGAAGCGUUUGACACCAGUGUUGUUUUUCUGAAAAUCAAUUAAAGAACUGUUUAUGCUAAGCUGUUUAGACUUUAUCAGCUAACUGUUUAGUUUUGAGCUUUUCUUUAAUGCACUUUUCAGUUAACAAGUCAACAUCAAUUUCUUUUGCUGUAAAAAAGCUUGAGGAAGGUGGCUUGAGAUUCGUCUUAAGUGUUUAUAGCCUCUUGCCUAUGCAGUCGGAGAGAUUGAGGUCUGCAGCGUAGAUCCUUCGGGGCUAAAUGCAUUUGUGCUAAGUUAUAGCAUUUUAUAGACAACUUGUUGACUAUGAUUUGUCUUGUAGCUUACUCGCUUAUGUUAUUUUACCUACGCUUAGGAUGUUGAACGCGCACAGAGUCUC